rnacentral:ncRNA from 1 species
UAUAUUUGUAACGAGACUGGUUAUCAUUGUGAUACGAAAAAGGGAAUUAGGUGAAAAUCCUAAACAGACCCGCUGCUGUAAGCUCAUAAAUAGUAACGAAUCUAGCUAUCCACUGUCGCAUAGAUGGGAAGGAUAUUCGUUAUGAGCAAGUCAGAAUACCUGCCAUUCUAAAAUAAGUUUU